GAUGAACGCUGGCGGCGUGCUUAACACAUGCAAGUCGAACGAAGCACUUUAUUUGAUUUCCUUCGGGACUGAUUAUUUUGUGACUGAGUGGCGGACGGGUGAGUAACGCGUGGGUAACCUGCCUUGUACAGGGGGAUAACAGUUGGAAACGGCUGCUAAUACCGCAUAAGCGCACGGCAUCGCAUGAUGCAGUGUGAAAAACUCCGGUGGUAUAAGAUGGACCCGCGUUGGAUUAGCUAGUUGGUGAGGUAACGGCCCACCAAGGCGACGAUCCAUAGCCGACCUGAGAGGGUGACCGGCCACAUUGGGACUGAGACACGGCCCAAACUCCUACGGGAGGCAGCAGUGGGGAAUAUUGCACAAUGGGCGAAAGCCUGAUGCAGCGACGCCGCGUGAGCGAAGAAGUAUUUCGGUGUGUAAAGCUCUAUCAGCAGGGAAGAUAAUGACGGUACCUGACUAAGAAGCACCGGCUAAAUACGUG
rnacentral:rRNA from 1 species